CUUGGCUAUUUUUGCCAUCGUUGUUUUAUCUUUUUUUUUAGUCUUGGUUCUGUUCACUGUCUGGGAUAUUUGGAAGGAGCUGUUGUAACUUGGCAUGGGAGGAGAUUGCUUAAAUAUUACCUCACAGAGUCGAUGUAAAUUUAGACUCGAUAAGACUUGGACUCCAAAUACCUUUUUUAACCCUUUACUGUCUUUUCCAAGUCCAUGCCCUCUGCUCUUUCUGAGCUCUUUGCAGCAGCUUUGAGGGGAACAUGACUCCUGUUUUGUCACUUGUCUGUGAUACCAAACAGUUUCUACAUGGCCAGCAGAGAGAUCUUUCACUCACCCCCACAUGGGCACACACACAGGUACAUCCUUCCCUCUGGGGAAGGAUUUAUCAGCAGAAGAAAUCCCAGAGGAAAGAUGCCCAUAAUGAUGAAUGCACAGAAAAUAUGCAGUCCUACAUCCAGAUAGGCAGAUAAUAUCAUCCACCAAACUGUGCCACUGUUCUCAGAGAGUAAAUGUCAUUUCCCUUUAAAAAAUCAAUUUUCUUUCCUUAGGGGAAAGGACACUUGGAGCACCUGUACCGAAAGGGAGAAGGUGAAGAAGCCUGUGAGCAUUCCCUGCCUCCUCUGAUCUUAUGCAGAUUCUAAACACAGGUCUGAACGCAAGCUCGAUGGCAACUCUCUGCUCCGGCUGCCAGGGCUCCAGCUCCAGCCGCUCCUCUCCGUCCUCCACCUUCUUUUUCCAAAGUAACAAAGCCAUUGGAUUUCCUCCCACCCCUUCCCUGCGCCUCCCCUCCCCCUCGCUGGCACCGGGGUUAUUUAUACAGAAUGUGGAAACAAUUUGCAGGAAAGUGAACAAUGUAAGCGGGAGCGAGGGAAGGGAGGCGAGUUUGCAGUGCGCGCUGAGAGCCCCAGCGGUGGAACGCUGCUUUUUGGGGAGCACGGGGAGCAGAAUGUUUUCCUUUCUUCCUUCUCCCCUCUCCCACCAUCUCCCUGAGCUCCUUCCAUCCUGCUGGAGUCGAGGCCAAACCAGAGCAACGAGAUCUGAGUGA
rnacentral:lncRNA from 1 species